rnacentral:rRNA from 1 species
CCUACGGGAGGCAGCAGUGAGGAAUAUUGGUCAAUGGGCUUACGCCUGAACCAGCCAAGUCGCGUGAGGGAAGACUGCCCUAUGGGUUGUAAACCUCUUUUGUCAGGGAGCAAUUGGCGCUACGUGUAGCGUUAUCGAGAGUACCUGAAGAAAAAGCAUCGGCUAACUCCGUGCCAGCAGCCGCGGUAAUACGGAGGAUGCGAGCGUUAUCCGGAUUUACUGGGUGUAAAGGGAGCGUAGACGGCAGCGCAAGUCUGGAGUGAAAUCCCAUGGCUUAACCAUGGAACUGCUUUGGAAACUGUGCAGCUGGAGUGCAGGAGAGGUAAGCGGAAUUCCUAGUGUAGCGGUGAAAUGCGUAGAUAUUAGGAGGAACACCAGUGGCGAAGGCGGCUUACUGGACUGUAACUGACGUUGAGGCUCGAAAGCGUGGGGAGCAAACAGGAUUAGAUACCCGGGUAGUC